ensembl:lncRNA
CUUGACAAAAUAGUUAAUGCCCGCUAGGAAAGAAAGUAAAUAUUAUUCUGAGUCUAUUCUACUGAUUGUGACUUACCUGUUACACCAAUGACAGAGACUGGGCCCACACGCUGUCCAUCAUAGAAACCAUAGAGAUUCAUCUUGUAUCUGUGGUCAGGCUCCAGGUCAGAAACUGUGACCUCAUUCUGGUUGCCCUCAACACGCACAGCCUGGGGUCUCCCAUUCCUGUCCUUGUACUGGAUUGAGAAGGCAUCAAAGUCUCCCUGGGAGUUGGGCCAAGAGAGCUUCAGGGAGUCUGGGGUGGCCCCUGUCACUGUCAGCUCCCCAAGUUCAGGCUUCUCUGUGGGCUCAGGGGCCUCAGUGGCAGGCACUGUGGGAGCUGGAAUCUCUUCUACUUCCUCAUAUAGUGCUGAGAUGAGGAGAUACAUAAAGAUAAGUUUGAGGAUAACAUCAGCUCUAGGAACUUUUCAUGUUCCUCAUAUGAGAAUAGAAUAUUUCUCUCUCUAGAGAAUAUAUGGUGAAACAGGUAUUUCUGCAACAGGAUUUCAUUUCUGUGGGAGCCCAGGGACCCCCAAGUUCUCAAAGGGGAAAACAGAACUGUGAGGUACUGGAAUGCGAUGAGAUUGAUUCCCUAAUUCUUCUUCCUUUACCCUUGAGAAGACUUCUUAUUGACCAUUCAAGAAGCAGGGACCAGAGUUACUGUGAUCAGACUGUGUCUCUCCUCUACCUGUCACAUGGGGCUCUUCCCUUCCCAAUGCCUAGAGUACUGAGAAGGGCUGAAAGAGAAGACAAAGGAGGCCCUGACAGGGAGCAGACGCUAGAUACCGGAGACAAGAGCUGAUCUUACAGCUGGCUAUAACUCCAUUCCUUGUCUACUUGGACCCUAGGAACCUGAGACCUCGGUGCAGACCAGCUAGGGGUGCAGCUGCACCUACUGAUGAGGAUGCAUUGAGAAUUAAUUUGGGGGGAGGAGAAGGUGGUGGCAGGAAGGAAGAGGCAAACAGGGGAACUGAUCAGGUGUCUGUUACGAGGAGAGUCUUGGGGCCUGGGAAAGAGCUGGCCGGCUGCCUCCCUGGAUACCGAGGGCGCUGACGGCAUUGUUGUUGUUGAGUUUUUUCUGGCGAUUGAGAGCCCCCAGGGGCGGGGGAGGGACUGGCCGGAGCCCCAGGAAAGGGGAGACAUCUGGCCUGGGCUGGCCUGGGCAGUAAGCCCUCUAAUUCUUUUGGUUCCCAGUUUCCAAAGCCCUGUGGGAGGGAGGAGGAGGGAAGCAGGGAGAUGUGUGUGGGGGUGGGGGAAGUGUGUGUGUUGGGGGUGGGAGGUUUGGCCUCUGAGCAGCUAGAGAUGGGACUGACAGACAGCUCUGAGAGAAGGGAAGGGGGAGGGCAAGGGAAACAAGGGGAGGCCCUGACAGCUCUACCAAAGACCCCCAGCUUCAGCAGAGCCAGAGCCUUCCUCUGCAGCUCCCAGCGCUGCCCUCACUCCAAGAGAGUGUAUAACGUGAUCACCUUCCAGAAGGGGGUGGGGGAGGCAAUCCCCAUGCCAGAGAAGUGUAACCCUCUUCUACACAACACAGUUUAAUACUCUCCUGGCCUACUCUAUACUAUACUGUAUUAUAUUAAUCAUAUUACUAUACUAUAUUUUACCAUGCUAUACUACAUUUACUAUACUAUACUAAUUAUACAAUACCAUACUAUAUUAUAGGAGAUAGCUAGGUGGCACAGCCGAUAAGAGUGCUGGGCCUGAAGUCAGGAAGGCCUGAGUUCAAAUGGACUUCAGACACUUACUAGCUAUGUGACCCUGGGCAAGUCACAUAACUUCUUUUUGCCUUAAUCCAUUGAAGA